AGCUACUUUCAUUUCUCUUCUUUGCUUCACUUCUGGUAAGGCUUAUCGGUCUUCUGGCUAGGCAUACUACUAAUCGAUUCUUUGACCCGAAACGGUCGAGCAACCGCUACAUUUCUUGAACGGUCACAGCCUACAUAACUUCUCUCCCUCUUUUCAAGGAAGUGAGUCUCAGACCUAUGUAGUUCUCGGCCCCUUUUUAACCAGUUUCUAUAGGUGCUUUCAUGGCUCUUCACUCCAGCCCUGAAGUAGUCUGGAGACCAAUCUCCCUCUUUAAUCCCUACAUAACAUAACAUAACGUGGGCCUUCCGUUAUGAGGUCGGAUCUUCAAAACAGCUCUUAGUCCUACCGCUUUCCAUUAGAUGUCUGUGCUUUCGGGUUGAGUCCCAUUGCCCUAGCGAAAUAGUCUGGUUCGCUGCCUGUUCUUUGAUCCUUUCUUUAUGAGAGAAAAAGAAACCUUCGAUCAGAAUACAAAUAAGAUCAAAAAGGCCAUC
rnacentral:misc_RNA from 1 species